UGCCCCAUGGCUUAGUUGGUCAAAGCGUCCGACUGUUAACCUAUUACGUUUGUGAUUCGCAAAUAUCGGAAGGUCGUGAGUUCAACCCUCACUGGGGCAG
rfam:Phlebia centrifuga strain FBCC195 PHLCENscaffold_85, whole genome shotgun sequence.